AGAGUUUGCUUCUGGCUCAGGAUGAACGCUGGCGGCGUGCUUAACACAUGCAAGUCGAGCGAAGCACUUAAGUCUGAUUCUUCGGAUGAAGACUUUUGUGACUGAGCGGCGGACGGGUGAGUAACGCGUGGGUAACCUGCCUCAUACAGGGGGAUAACAGUUAGAAAUGACUGCUAAUACCGCAUAAGACCACGGUACCGCAUGGUACAGUGGUAAAAACUCCGGUGGUAUGAGAUGGACCCGCGUCUGAUUAGGUAGUUGGUGGGGUAACGGCCUACCAAGCCGACGAUCAGUAGCCGACCUGAGAGGGUGACCGGCCACAUUGGGACUGAGACACGGCCCAGACUCCUACGGGAGGCAGCAGUGGGGAAUAUUGCACAAUGGAGGAAACUCUGAUGCAGCGACGCCGCGUGAAGGAUGAAGUAUUUCGGUAUGUAAACUUCUAUCAGCAGGGAAGAAAAUGACGGUACCUGACUAAGAAGCCCCGGCUAACUACGUGCCAGCAGCCGCGGUAAUACGUAGGGGGCAAGCGUUAUCCGGAUUUACUGGGUGUAAAGGGAGCGUAGACGGCACGGCAAGCCAGAUGUGAAAGCCCGGGGCUCAACCCCGGGACUGCAUUUGGAACUGCUGAGCUAGAGUGUCGGAGAGGCAAGUGGAAUUCCUAGUGUAGCGGUGAAAUGCGUAGAUAUUAGGAGGAACACCAGUGGCGAAGGCGGCUUGCUGGACGAUGACUGACGUUGAGGCUCGAAAGCGUGGGGAGCAAACAAAAUUAGAUACCCUGGUAGUCCCCGCCGUAAACGAUCUUAAAAGGUGUCGGGUAGCAGAGCUAUUUGGUGCCGCAGCUAACGCAAUAAGCAGUCCACCCGGGGGGUACGUUCGCAAGGAUGAAACUCAAAGGAAUAGACGGGGACCCGCACCCGCGGUGGAGCAUGUGGUUUAAUUCGAAGCAACGCGAAGAACCUUACCUGAUCUUGACAUCCCGAUGACCGCUUCGUAAUGGAAGCUUUUCUUCGGAACAUCGGUGACAGGUGGUGCAUGGUUGUCGUCAGCUCGUGUCGUGAGAUGUUGGGUUAAGUCCCGCAACGAGCGCAACCCCUAUCUUCAGUAGCCAGCAGGUUAAGCUGGGCACUCUGGAGAGACUGCCAGGGAUAACCUGGAGGAAGGUGGGGAGGACGUCAAAUCAUCAUGCCCCUUAUGACCAGGGCUACACACGUGCUACAAUGGCGUAAACAAAGAGAAGCGAACUCGCGAGGGUAAGCAAAUCUCAAAAAUAACGUCUCAGUUCGGAUUGUAGUCUGCAACUCGACUACAUGAAGCUGGAAUCGCUAGUAAUCGCAGAUCAGAAUGCUGCGGUGAAUAAGUUCCCGGGUCUUGCACA
rnacentral:rRNA from 1 species